rnacentral:sRNA from 1 species
CGGAAUCAAAGUUUUCCAGCGAGUGUAAUAACUUGUAUUUGAAUUUAAAUAAGUGGCAAAAGCAUUAUGUUCAAAUAAGGAACGUACUGUGAUAAAAAUGGCUUAUUUUUCCGAGUGUACAGCUGGCACAGACACAAAGACAGCAGAAGACGGAGACGUCUCGACGCAGUGCAAAAACUUGUCAAGCCAAAAGACGCAGACGCUAUAGCAGCAGAAGCAGCCGAAGCAGCAGCAACACACAUAAAAAAUAUUUUUAUGCAAAAUUUUUAUGAUUUCCGUCUGGUUGCGACAGCGGCAUGGGCACAAAGAGACUUCGAGGCACACAAGCCGGCCCAAUUCUGAUUCUGAAGCCGAUUCCGAUCGCAAUUGCGAUUGCGAUGGUCCAAGCCAUCUCCUUCACCUGGUUUCAAUUAAAAGACACUUUUCUUUUA